AUUGAACGCUAGCGGGAGGCCUUACACAUGCAAGUCGAACGGAGUGGCGGACGGGUGAGUAAUAUAUCUGAACGUGCCCAGUAGAGGGGGCUAACUACUCGAAAGAGUGGCUAAUACCGCAUACUAUUGGAGCGGCCCAUAUCGGAUUAGCUAGUUGGGGGGGUAAAGGCUCACCAAGGCAACGAUCCGUAGCUGGUUUGAGAGGAUGACCAGCCACACUGGGACUGAUACACGGCCCAGACUCCUACGGGAGGCAGCAGUGGGGAAUGUUGGACAAUGGGAGAAACCCUGAUCCAGCCAUCCCGCGUGUAUGAUGAAGGCCUUCGGGUUGUAAAGUACUUUUGGCGGAGAAGCGGUAUCUGCAGAAGAAGCACCGGCUAACUACGUGCCAGCAGCCGCGGUAAUUC
rnacentral:rRNA from 1 species